rnacentral:rRNA from 1 species
CUACGGGUGGCUCCAGUGAGGAAUAUUGCACAAUGGGGGGAACCCUGAUGCAGCAACGCCGCGUGGAGGAUGACGCAUUUCGGUGUGUAAACUCCUUUUAUAUGUCAAGAAAAUGACGGUAGCAUAUGAAUAAGCACCGGCUAACUCCGUGGCCAGCAGCCGCGGUAAUACGGAGGGUGCAAGCGUUACUCGGAAUCACUGGGCGUAAAGGACGCGUAGGCGGGUUGGAAAGUCAGGUGUGAAAUCCUACAGCUUAACUGUAGAACUGCACUUGAAACUUCUAAUCUAGAGUAUGGGAGGGGGAGAUGGAAUUAGUGGUGUAGGGGUAAAAUCCGUAGAUAUCACUAGGAAUACCUAAAGCAGAGGCGAUCUCCUGGAACAUUACUGACGCUAAGGCGUGAAAGCGUGGGGAGCAAACAGGAUUAGAUACCCCCGUAGUC